GACGAACGCUGGCGGCGUGCUUAACACAUGCAAGUCGAACGGAAAGGCCCUGCUUUUGUGGGGUGCUCGAGUGGCGCACGGGUGAGUAACACGUGAGUAACCUGCCCUUGACUUUGGGAUAACUUCAGGAGACUGGGGCUAUUACCGCAUAGGAGCACCUGCUGCAUGGUGGGGGUUGGAAAGUUUCGGCGGUUGGGGAUGGACUCGCGGCUUAUCAGCUUGUUGGUGGGGUAGUGGCUUAACAAGGCUUUGACGGGUAGCCGGCCUGAGAGGGUGACCGGGCACAAUGGGACUGAGAUGCGGGCCAGAGGGCAACGGGAGGCAGCGGUGGAAAACAUUGCACAAUGGGCGGAAGCCUGAUGCAGCGAUGCCGCGUGCGGGAAGACGGCCUGCGGGUUAGAAACCGCUUUCGCCUGUGACGAAGCGUGAGUGACGGUAAUGGGUAAAGAAGCACCGGCUAACUACGUG
rnacentral:rRNA from 1 species